ensembl:lncRNA
UUUUAAAAUGUAGGUAAAGGGGAUAGAGUAACCAGGAAGGCUAUUUAGAGCCUGGAAAGACCUCUUUGAGGAGGUAGUUUUUUCGUUUUUUGUUUUCUUUUUUAUGGCCACACCUGCAUAUGGAAGUUCCUGGGCCAGGAGUCGAACUGGAGCUGCAGCUUGACUUACGCCACAGCCAUGGCAACACCAGAUCUGAGCCACAACUGCAACCUACACCGCAGCUAACAGCAGUGGAUCCUUAACCCACUGAGUGAGGCCAGGGAUCGAACCCAAAUCCCCAUAGAGACAACACUGGGUCCAUAACCCACUGAGCCACAAGGGGAACUCUUGAGAUGGUUUUGAGUAGAAAGACGCCAAGUAAAGUGAAGGAAAAAGCCACAAGGAUAACUGGAGAAAAGAGUAUUCUGGACAGAGGGAGAAGCUUGCUCAGCGUGUGCAGAGAAUGAGGCCCGCAGCCCUCGUGGCUAAAGUGGCAUGAACUAGGAAGAGUGGUAAGAUGUGACCAGUUUUUGAAGGCCUUUUAAGCCAAGGAAAAUAGUUAGGACUUUUUUCCUAGCAUGAUAGGGCUCUUUAAAAGGCUUCCAGCAGGGAAAAGACCUAGUCUAACUUAGACUGCAAAAGUCUCCUUCAGAUGGCUAAAUAGGGAAUUAAGAAGGAAAACAAAAAGGCAAGGGGAGGUAAAUUUAGAGAAUAUUUCUAAAGGCAGAGAAAACAGUUAUGUUGGUCGAUUGUAAGAGGGGUGUGAACUCUUGCUGGAGGACUAGUUCCAAUUAACCUUGCUGGUUCUCCUACUGGUGAGAAAUAUUUCAAGAAAGAGAAUGUAUUAUACCUCAAGAAACUCAAACUAGUAUCAGCCCUAAAAAUUCGCUAUACCUGGUAUAUUUAAAAUGCACAUACUACAGGAGUUCCCGCUGUGGCUCAGUGUUUAAUGAACCCAACUAGCAUUCAUGAGGACUCAGGUUUGACCCCUGGCCUUGCUCAGUGGGUUAGGGAAUCCGGCGUUGCUGUGAGCUAUGGUGUAGUCGCAGACUCGGCUCAGAUUUGGCAUUGCUGUGGCUGUGGCGUAAGCCGGCAGCUACAGUUCUGAUUCGACCUCUGUCCUGGAAACCUCCAUAUGCCAAGGGUGUGGCCCUAAAAAAGACAAAAAAAAAAAAAAAAAAGGCACAUAUUAAAACACAAAAGACUUACAGCUAGGUCAAGACUCCGUCCCCCAUAACACCACUGAAUACAUACAAUCAUUUUGCCUAGCAGUAUAAUAAAAAAACAUCAGAAAUUAAGAAAAAAAAUGUUCAGUUUAGGAGCCCCUAGAUAUAAAACUCCUAAGAGUAUGAGAUUCCCCCCAAUGACUUGGGGGGGGGGGUCCCCUGACAUUUUAACUCAGAUUUGUUCACGCUGAGCUUGCAGUAAUUUAUCAAUCACAGUUUAGCUUUUCCUACCCCAGAACUGGUUUUCAUAAGGGGUUUCUGUUCUGGUGAAGUUGUGUUUCUCUGUAUUCACCUAUCUCUCCAGUUGGGGGACAGCAGUUGGCCCAAUGACCUCACUUCUCUGAAAGAUCCAAGAAAGAGUUGCUGGUUUUUCAGUUUGUUCAGCUUUUUGCUCACUUUAAGGCAGAGUGAUGACCUCCAAACUCCUUACACACUGGACCAGAAACCAGAAGUCUCUCACUUUUUGAUAAUUUUCUUCAUAAAAGUUUGAACAUCUUUUGUUAGUCCUAUUGUAAGGUACUCUACAACUCACUAACAUUGUAAAUGACAUCUUUUAAAAAAACAUUUUUCAGGAGUUCCCGUUGUGGCGCAGUGGUUAACGAAUCCGACUAGGAACCAUGAGGUUGAGGGUUUGAUCCCUGGCCUUGCUCAGUGGGUUAAGGAUCCGGCGUUGCCGUGAGCUGUGGUGUAGGUUGCAGACGCGGCUCGGAUCCCGUGUUGCUGUGGCUCUGGCGUAGGCCGGUGGCUACAGCUCCAAUUGGACCCCCAACCUGGGAAUCUCCACAUGCCGUGGGAGCAGCCCUAGAAAUGGCAACAAGACAAAAAAAACAAAAAACCAUUUUUCAACUUCCUGUGUUUGAAUUAUAGAAAAACAUGAAAUCACCUUGCUAAACUCAUUAUUCUACUAAUGUAAAUGUAAGUUAUCUUGGCUUUUUCUAUAUAAACAAUCAUAGUACAGGUGAAUGACUCCAUAGAAAGGAUAUGUACUGGCCAAAUAACAGUCCUCAAAGAGGUCCUCACCCCAAUUCCCAGAAGUCUGUGUAUAUGUUAUUUGACAUGACAAAAUAUUUUGUAGAUUUGACUGCAUUAAGGACUUUGAUGUGGGAGGUUUUUCUGGAUUAUCUACUUGGGCCAGCAGGAGGGUCAGAAUCAGCGAAGACUAUAUGAUGAUAGGUAGCAGAAAGAAAGGUGAUGACAGAAGUAGAGGCUGGAAUGAUAUACUUUGAAGAUGAAAGUACAGGAAUGCAGGCAACCUCCAGAAGCCAAAAGAGACAAGGAAGCAGACUCUCCUCUAACACCUUCAAAAGAAACACACCUCUUCCAAUACCCUGAUAUUAGUCCCACAAGACUAAUUUUGAACUCCUAACCUCCAUCACUAUACAAAUAAAUUGCGUUAUUUUUUAUAUAUUUUUUGUUUUUUAGGGCCGCACCCACGGCAUAUGGAGGUUCCCAGGCUAGGGGUUGAAUCAGAGCUACAGCUGCCAGCCUACACCACAACCACAGCAAUUCAGUAUCCGAGCCACAUCUGUGACCUAUACCACAGCUCACGGCAACACCAGAUCCUUAACCCACUGAGCGAGGCCAGGGAUUGAACCCACAACCUCAUGGUUCCUAGUCAGAUUCGUUUCUGCUGUGCCACGACAGGAACUCCUAAAUUGUGUUGUUUUAAACACACCUCCUCCUAUGCACCCCCUCAGGGGCGCACCUGAGGCAUGAUAUCUUAUUCAAAUAAACAUAUGACUUAAUGCAAGUAAACAGAUGACUUGAGAGAUUGAAUCAGAGCUAUUGAGCAAUAACUCUGAGCAAAGCCAGACAGAGGGUUGAUUACUAUCUUGAGUUCCUCCUAUCUCCCAGAAAUCCUCAAAAACAAUAUCAAGAUCAACUAAAGACAGAUGUCAGUUAAUGAACAUCUCUCAGCCCCUGUGUUCUCAUUAUUUAUCUCAGCCCUUUCUUAUAUUGUUCUGUCCUGGGUAACUCCUGUCUUUAAAAUACUGUUUUAGUACUCUUCUUCUGGGAAGUGUUACAAGUUACUUGGCUAAAAGCAACUUAUUAGCUGAAAAAGGACAAGAACACUUGGAACAAAGAAAUAGUCCGAAGAUACACUUAAAAAUUCAAAUUCUUAUUCCAAGCAUAAAAAAUACAGACACUGAAAAGUAAAAGAGAUAAACUCUCCACCUUCAACAAACUCCUUUUUAAAAACUAAAAAAGGAGUUCCCAUUGCGGCUCAGCGGUAAAGAAUGUGACUAGUAUCCAUGAGGAUUGGGGUUUGAUCCCUGGUCUCGCUCAGUGGGUUAAGUAUUAGGCUCGGCCCCAAGCUGUGGUGUGGGUCACAGCCGCUGCUGGGAUUGGACCCCAUAUGUCGCACGUGGGGCCCUAAAAGGUAAUAAAGUAAAAUAAAAAACUAAAAAAAAAUAGAACUAAGCAAAAGUUUGCAGUGCUAUCUUUGUACAUUUUACUAACUUCUCUAUAUAUAUUACGUUCUAAAAUACUCUAAAUCUAGUGUUGAAUCAACAGUGCUUAAUCAAGGAAGAACAAUAUUUGGUCUGUAUUCUUUAGGCUGGAGUGAGAGAGGGAGAUCAUUUACAAUGGCAGUGGCUAUUUACAAGAGCAAGGCUGGAUGGCAGGAUGAAAGUCACGCGCUCGCAGACACAGGCCUUGGACAGGGGGAGAACUACGACGGCUCACGGUGGCAUCGUCCCGCACCUGCCAGAUGCGGCCGGAGAGCCAGGCGCAGCCGCCCUCCGCUUGCCCAGCCCAGGCCGACUAAGUCGGGGUGGCCGACUGGUCGGGGUGGCCACUCACUCACCUGGUUGGUCUUACCUUGGCCUUAGCGUCCAGCUGCGGCUCACUAGACCCCUCCAUGACAGGGUUGAGGGCUUCUUCCACCCUCCGGUGGGCACUCCGGGUU